rnacentral:rRNA from 1 species
AUACGGAGGAUGCGAGCGUUAUCCGGAUUCAUUGGGUUUAAAGGGUGCGUAGGCGGAAUAAUAAGUCAGGGGUGAAAGUUUUCGGCUCAACCGUAAAAUUGCCUUUGAUACUGUUAUUCUUGAGUACACGCGAGGUAUGCGGAAUGUGAUGUGUAGCGGUGAAAUGCUUAGAUAUAUCACAGAACACCGAUUGCGAAGGCAGCAUACUAGAGUGUCACUGACGCUGAUGCACGAAAGCGUGGGUAUCGAACAGGAUUAGAAACCCCGGUAGUCC